UUUUGGUAAUGCAGCCACGUUAUACUCGUAUGUUUAGCUAGAUACCUUUGUGCCACAAGCAUUUAACAAUAUAAUUGUAUAGGGAGAAACAAAAAGGAAUAAAGGUUAUGAAUUUGGAAAAACAUUAAAGAAAUCAAAAUACAUUUUUGGUAAACAUACUAGUCAAACUAAUAAAACGGAAUAAACAGCAUGUGAGUGAAUUUAAUGAGAGUAUGACUUCAUGGAUAGUUGUAUAUACUUGCGACAACUUAUAUGUGCUCCUGAUAUGGUUUAUUAAUAAAAGCUGUUAGUGAGGUUUUAAUUGCGAAUUAGGCGAAAUGUCAAUAGAAGUUAAUUUAAUCAAUAGGGAUCGGAAUUUCUUAACUUUUAGAGAGUUGCUGUUCGGUACUUGAAUGAUAUACUUGAACUUAGUGCAUGUAUCUUUGAAUUCUAACACUAUUACAAAAUUGAUAAAAUUAUAUAUAAUUUCAAUGGAAAAUAUAUCUUUAAUCCAGCAACAUAAAAAGAAAACAUAAGUAUUGAGCUACUGCAAGUUAUCUAGUUAGAGCACG